rnacentral:tRNA from 2 species
GGUAAAAUGGCCGAAGUAGGCGUAGGGUUGUAGCCCUUAUAAUAAAGGUUAAAGUCCUUUUUUUAUCA